rnacentral:misc_RNA from 1 species
GAUGAAGAACGUAGCGAAAUGCGAUAAGUAAUGUGAAUUGCAAAAUUCAGUGAAUCAUCGAAUCUUUGAACGCACAUUGCGCCCGCUAGUAUUCUGGCGGGCAUGCCUGUCCGAGCGUCAUUUCAACCCUCAAGCCCCCGGGCUUGGUGUUGGGGAUCGGCGAGCCUCCGCGCCCGCCGUCCCCUAAAUCUAGUGGCGGUCUCGCUGUAGCUUCCUCUGCGUAGUAGCACACCUCGCACUGGGAAACAGCGCGGCCACGCCGUUAAACCCCCAACUUCUGAACGUUUGACCUCGGAUCAGGUAGGAAUACCCGCUGAACUUAAGCAUAUCAAUAAGCGGAGGA